GUCAGGAUAGUCUAAUAGGUAGGAUAUGGGACUGUUACUCCCUUGGUGGUGGUUCGAGUCCACCUCCUGACG
rnacentral:tRNA from 1 species